GAGUUUGAUCAUGGCUCAGGAUGAACGCUAGCGGCAGGCUUAACACAUGCAAGUCGAGGGGCAGCGCGGUAGCAAUACUGGCGGCGACCGGCAAACGGGUGCGGAACACGUACAGAACCUACCUCGGUCUGGGGCAUAGCCCGGAGAAAUCCGGAUUAACUCCUCAUAAUAUAGAUGAAAGGCAUCUUUUGACUAUUAAAAAUUUAUUGGAUCGAGAUGGCUGUGCGUCCCAUUAGCUAGUUGGUAGGGUAACGGCCUACCAAGGCGACGAUGGGUAGCUGGUGUGAGAGCACGACCAGCCACACGGGCACUGAGACACGGCCCAGACUCCUACGGGAGGCAGCAGUGGGGAAUCUUGGACAAUGGGCGCAAGCUUGAUCCAGCCAUGCCGCGUGAGUGAAGAAGGCCUUAGGGUUGUAAAGCUCUUUUGCCAGGGACGAUAAUGACGGUACCUGGAGAAUAAGCCCCGGCAAACUUCGUGCCAGCCGCCGCAGUAAG
rnacentral:rRNA from 1 species